CUGAUCUGUUUCCUGUGUUUGGAAAGAGUUCCAGCUUCAUCACGGAGUUUCUCUCGGUUUGUGGGCUCAUCUAAAGGGAUAAAAUACAUAUCUAUACUUUUGUGUCCCAGCUGAGUAACAGGAGGAGAAGAGUCUGGUGGAGCAGCAGAGGAACAAUUUCAGCCAUUUGGACUCAGCUCAGCCACUACAGAGGAAACAAUGACUUCAACACAAAAGGACCAACAUGGAGCGAGAAGUCAGCGCUCUCAGGAGGCCGACAAACCUCACAGAAGAAAGGGAGAGAAGAAAUACAGCUGUGAUGAGUGUGGAAAGGAUUUUACUCAUGCUGGAAGCUUAAAAAAUCACAAAGUCAUCCACAGUGGAGUUAAAGCAUACAACUGUGACUUGUGUGGAAAAUCUUUUACCCUGGCUGGAAGCUUAAAAACACACCAACUCAUCCACAGUGGAAUUAAACCAUACAGCUGUGACUUGUGUGGAAAAUCUUUUACCCAGGCUGGAAGCUUAAAAACACACCAACUCAUCCACAGUGGAGUUAAAGCACACUACUGUGAGUUGUGUGGAAAGUCUUUUACCCAGGCUGGAAACUUAAAAACACACCAACUCAUCCACAGUGGAAUUAAACCGUACAGCUGUGACUUGUGUGGAAAAUCCUUAGCCGAGGCUGGCGACUUAAAAAAACACCAACUUAUCCACAGUGGAGUUAAAGCGUACAGCUGUAAUCAGUGUGGUAAAACUUUU